UUCAGAUGUGAAAGACCCGGGGCGUCAACCUCCGGAAUAGCAUUUGAAACUAGGCAGACUAGAGUACUGUAGAGGGGGGUAGGAAGUUUCAGGUGUAGCGGUGAAAUAGCGUAGAGAUCUGAAGGAAUACCGGUGGCGAAGGCGGCCCCCUCGGACAGAUACUGACACUCAGAUGCGAAAGCGUGGGGAGCAAACAGGAUUAGAUACCCUGGUAG
rnacentral:rRNA from 1 species